GGUUAAGCGACUAAGCGUACACGGUGGAUGCCCUGGCAGUCAGAGGCGAUGAAGGACGUGCUAAUCUGCGAUAAGCGUCGGUAAGGUGAUAUGAACCGUUAUAACCGGCGAUUUCCGAAUGGGGAAACCCAGUGUGUUUCGACACACUAUCAUUAACUGAAUCCAUAGGUUAAUGAGGCGAACCGGGGGAACUGAAACAUCUAAGUACCCCGAGGAAAAGAAAUCAACCGAGAUUCCCCCAGUAGCGGCGAGCGAACGGGGAGCAGCCCAGAGCCUGAAUCAGUGUGUGUGUUAGUGGAAGCGUCUGGAAAGGCGCGCGAUACAGGGUGACAGCCCCGUACACAAAAAUGCACAUGCUGUGAGCUCGAUGAGUAGGGCGGGACACGUGGUAUCCUGUCUGAAUAUGGGGGGACCAUCCUCCAAGGCUAAAUACUCCUGACUGACCGAUAGUGAACCAGUACCGUGAGGGAAAGGCGAAAAGAACCCCGGCGAGGGGAGUGAAAAAGAACCUGAAACCGUGUACGUACAAGCAGUGGGAGCACGCUUAGGCGUGUGACUGCGUACCUUUUGUAUAAUGGGUCAGCGACUUAUAUUCUGUAGCAAGGUUAACCGAAUAGGGGAGCCGAAGGGAAACCGAGUCUUAACUGGGCGUUAAGUUGCAGGGUAUAGACCCGAAACCCGGUGAUCUAGCCAUGGGCAGGUUGAAGGUUGGGUAACACUAACUGGAGGACCGAACCGACUAAUGUUGAAAAAUUAGCGGAUGACUUGUGGCUGGGGGUGAAAGGCCAAUCAAACCGGGAGAUAGCUGGUUCUCCCCGAAAGCUAUUUAGGUAGCGCCUCGUGAAUUCAUCUCCGGGGGUAGAGCACUGUUUCGGCAAGGGGGUCAUCCCGACUUACCAACCCGAUGCAAACUGCGAAUACCGGAGAAUGUUAUCACGGGAGACACACGGCGGGUGCUAACGUCCGUCGUGAAGAGGGAAACAACCCAGACCGCCAGCUAAGGUCCCAAAGUCAUGGUUAAGUGGGAAACGAUGUGGGAAGGCCCAGACAGCCAGGAUGUUGGCUUAGAAGCAGCCAUCAUUUAAAGAAAGCGUAAUAGCUCACUGGUCGAGUCGGCCUGCGCGGAAGAUGUAACGGGGCUAAACCAUGCACCGAAGCUGCGGCAGCGACGCUUAUGCGUUGUUGGGUAGGGGAGCGUUCUGUAAGCCUGUGAAGGUGUACUGUGAGGUAUGCUGGAGGUAUCAGAAGUGCGAAUGCUGACAUAAGUAACGAUAAAGCGGGUGAAAAGCCCGCUCGCCGGAAGACCAAGGGUUCCUGUCCAACGUUAAUCGGGGCAGGGUGAGUCGACCCCUAAGGCGAGGCCGAAAGGCGUAGUCGAUGGGAAACAGGUUAAUAUUCCUGUACUUGGUGUUACUGCGAAGGGGGGACGGAGAAGGCUAUGUUGGCCGGGCGACGGUUGUCCCGGUUUAAGCGUGUAGGCUGGUUUUCCAGGCAAAUCCGGAAAAUCAAGGCUGAGGCGUGAUGACGAGGCACUACGGUGCUGAAGCAACAAAUGCCCUGCUUCCAGGAAAAGCCUCUAAGCAUCAGGUAACAUCAAAUCGUACCCCAAACCGACACAGGUGGUCAGGUAGAGAAUACCAAGGCGCUUGAGAGAACUCGGGUGAAGGAACUAGGCAAAAUGGUGCCGUAACUUCGGGAGAAGGCACGCUGAUAUGUAGGUGAAGUCCCUCGCGGAUGGAGCUGAAAUCAGUCGAAGAUACCAGCUGGCUGCAACUGUUUAUUAAAAACACAGCACUGUGCAAACACGAAAGUGGACGUAUACGGUGUGACGCCUGCCCGGUGCCGGAAGGUUAAUUGAUGGGGUCAGCGCAAGCGAAGCUCUUGAUCGAAGCCCCGGUAAACGGCGGCCGUAACUAUAACGGUCCUAAGGUAGCGAAAUUCCUUGUCGGGUAAGUUCCGACCUGCACGAAUGGCGUAAUGAUGGCCAGGCUGUCUCCACCCGAGACUCAGUGAAAUUGAACUCGCUGUGAAGAUGCAGUGUACCCGCGGCAAGACGGAAAGACCCCGUGAACCUUUACUAUAGCUUGACACUGAACAUUGAGCCUUGAUGUGUAGGAUAGGUGGGAGGCUUUGAAGUGUGGACGCCAGUCUGCAUGGAGCCGACCUUGAAAUACCACCCUUUAAUGUUUGAUGUUCUAACGUGGACCCGUGAUCCGGGUUGCGGACAGUGUCUGGUGGGUAGUUUGACUGGGGCGGUCUCCUCCUAAAGAGUAACGGAGGAGCACGAAGGUUGGCUAAUCCUGGUCGGACAUCAGGAGGUUAGUGCAAUGGCAUAAGCCAGCUUGACUGCGAGCGUGACGGCGCGAGCAGGUGCGAAAGCAGGUCAUAGUGAUCCGGUGGUUCUGAAUGGAAGGGCCAUCGCUCAACGGAUAAAAGGUACUCCGGGGAUAACAGGCUGAUACCGCCCAAGAGUUCAUAUCGACGGCGGUGUUUGGCACCUCGAUGUCGGCUCAUCACAUCCUGGGGCUGAAGUAGGUCCCAAGGGUAUGGCUGUUCGCCAUUUAAAGUGGUACGCGAGCUGGGUUUAGAACGUCGUGAGACAGUUCGGUCCCUAUCUGCCGUGGGCGCUGGAGAACUGAGGGGGGCUGCUCCUAGUACGAGAGGACCGGAGUGGACGCAUCACUGGUGUUCGGGUUGUCAUGCCAAUGGCACUGCCCGGUAGCUAAAUGCGGAAGAGAUAAGUGCUGAAAGCAUCUAAGCACGAAACUUGCCCCGAGAUGAGUUCUCCCUGACUCCUUGAGAGUCCUGAAGGAACGUUGAAGACGACGACGUUGAUAGGCCGGGUGUGUAAGCGCAGCGAUGCGUUGAGCUAACCGGUACUAAUGAACCGUGAGGCUUAACCUU
rnacentral:rRNA from 1 species